AACGAACGCUGGCGGCAGGCCUAACACAUGCAAGUCGAACGCCUCGCAAGAGGAGUGGCAGACGGGUGCGUAACACGUGGGAACAUACCCUUUGGUUCGGAAUAACUCAGGGAAACUUGAGCUAAUACCGGAUAAGCCCUUACGGGAAAGAUUUAUCGCCAUUGGAUUGGCCCGCGUCUGAUUAGCUAGUUGGUGAGGUAACGGCUCACCAAGGCGACGAUCAGUAGCUGGUCUGAGAGGAUGAUCAGCCACACUGGGACUGAGACACGGCCCAGACUCCUACGGGAGGCAGCAGUGGGGAAUAUUGGACAAUGGGCGAAAGCCUGAUCCAGCCAUGCCGCGUGAGUGAUGAAGGCCUUAGGGUUGUAAAGCUCUUUUACCUGGG
rnacentral:rRNA from 1 species